CCUACGGGAGGCAGCAGUGGGGAAUAUUGGACAAUGGGGGGAACCCUGAUCCAGCCAUGCCGCGUGUGUGAAGAAGGCCCUCGGGUUGUAAAGCACUUUCAGUGAGGAAGAACGCCUGGUGGUUAAUACCCAUCAGGAAAGACAUCACUCACAGAAGAAGCACCGGCUAACUCCGUGCCAGCAGCCGCGGUAAUACGGAGGGUGCGAGCGUUAAUCGGAAUUACUGGGCGUAAAGCGCGCGUAGGUGGCUUGAUAAGCCGGUUGUGAAAGCCCCGGGCUCAACCUGGGAACGGCAUCCGGAACUGUCAAGCUAGAGUGCAGGAGAGGAAGGUAGAAUUCCCGGUGUAGCGGUGAAAUGCGUAGAGAUCGGGAGGAAUACCAGUGGCGAAGGCGGCCUUCUGGACUGACACUGCCACUGAGGUGCGAAAGCGUGGGUAGCAAACAGGAUUAGAUACCCGUGUAGUC
rnacentral:rRNA from 1 species